rnacentral:rRNA from 1 species
UACAGAGGGGGCAAGCGUUGUUCGGAAUUACUGGGCGUAAAGAGCGUGUAGGCGGCCACGCAGGUCCGUUGUGAAAACUGGAGGCUCAACCUCCAGCUGUCGACGGAAACCGUAUGGCUAGAGUCCGGAAGAGGAGAGUGGAAUUCCUGGUGUAGCGGUGAAAUGCGCAGAUAUCAGGAAGAACACCGGUGGCGAAGGCGGCAUCCUGGACCGGUAUUGACGCUGAGGCGCGAAAGCCAGGGGAGCAAACGGG